GACGAACGCUGGCGGCGUGCUUAACACAUGCAAGUCGAACGGAAAGGCCCUGCUUUUGUGGGGUGCUCGAGUGGCGAACGGGUGAGUAACACGUGAGUAACCUGCCCUUGACUUUGGGAUAACUUCAGGAAACUGGGGCUAAUACCGGAUAGGAGCUCCUGCUGCAUGGUGGGGGUUGGAAAGUUUCGGCGGUUGGGGAUGGACUCGCGGCUUAUCAGCUUGUUGGUGGGGUAGUGGCUUACCAAAGCUUUGACGGGUAGCCGGCCUGAGAGGGUGACCGGCCACAUUGGGACUGAGAUACGGCCCAGACUCCUACGGGAGGCAGCAGUGGGGAAUAUUGCACAAUGGGCGGAAGCCUGAUGCAGCAACGCCGCGUGCGGGAUGACGGCCUUCGGGUUGUAAACCGCUUUCGCCUGUGACGAAGCGUGAGUGACGGUAAUGGGUAAAGAAGCACCGGCUAACUACGUGCCAGCAGCCGCGGUGAUACGUAGGGUGCGAGCGUUGUCCGGAUUUAUUGGGCGUAAAGGGCUCGUAGGUGGUUGAUCGCGUCGGAAGUGUAAUCUUGGGGCUUAACCCUGAGCGUGCUUUCGAUACGGGUUGACUUGAGGAAGGUAGGGGAGAAUGGAAUUCCUGGUGGAGCGGUGGAAUGCGCAGAUAUCAGGAGGAACACCAGUGGCGAAGGCGGUUCUCUGGGCCUUUCCUGACGCUGAGGAGCGAAAGCGUGGGGAGCGAACAGGCUUAGAUACCCUGGUAGUCCACGCUGUAAACGGUGGGUACUAGGUGUGGGGUCCAUUCCACGGGUUCCGUGCCGUAGCUAACGCUUUAAGUACCCCGCCUGGGGAGUACGGCCGCAAGGCUAAAACUCAAAGGAAUUGACGGGGCCCCGCACAAGCGGCGGAGCAUGCGGAUUAAUUCGAUGCAACGCGUAGAACCUUACCUGGGUUUGACAUGGAUCGGGAGUGCUCAGAGAUGGGUGUGCCUCUUUUGGGGUCGGUUCACAGGUGGUGCAUGGCUGUCGUCAGCUCGUGUCGUGAGAUGUUGGGUUAAGUCCCGCAACGAGCGCAACCCUUGUUCACUGUUGCCAGCACGUUAUGGUGGGGACUCAGUGGAGACCGCCGGGGUCAACUCGGAGGAAGGUGGGGAUGACGUCAAGUCAUCAUGCCCCUUAUGUCCAGGGCUUCACGCAUGCUACAAUGGCUGGUACAGAGAGUGGCGAGCCUGUGAGGGUGAGCGAAUCUCGGAAAGUCGGUCUCAGUUCGGAUUGGGGUCUGCAACUCGACCUCAUGAAGUCGGAGUCGCUAGUAAUCGCAGAUCAGCAACGCUGCGGUGAAUACGUUCCCGGGGCU
rnacentral:rRNA from 1 species